ACGAACGCUGGCGGCGCGCCUAACACAUGCAAGUCGCACGAGCGAGAGAGAGCUUGCUUUCUCGAGCGAGUGGCGAACGGGUGAGUAACGCGUGAGGAACCUGCCUCAAAGAGGGGGACAACAGUUGGAAACGACUGCUAAUACCGCAUAAGCCCACGACCCGGCAUCGGGUAGAGGGAAAAGGAGCAAUCCGCUUUGAGAUGGCCUCGCGUCCGAUUAGCUAGUUGGUGAGGUAACGGCCCACCAAGGCGACGAUCGGUAGCCGGACUGAGAGGUUGAACGGCCACAGUGGGACUGAGACACGGCCCAGACUCCUACGGGAGGCAGCAGUGGGGAAUAUUGCACAAUGGGGGAAACCCUGAUGCAGCGACGCCGCGUGGAGGAAGAAGGUCUUCGGAUUGUAAACUCCUGUUGUUGAGGAAGAUAAUGACGGUACUCAACAAGGAAGUGACGGCUAACUACGUG
rnacentral:rRNA from 1 species